AUUGAACGCUGGCGGCAGGCCUAACACAUGCAAGUCGAGCGGAGUGGCGGACGGGUGAGUAAUGCCUAGGUAUCUGCCUGGUCGUGGUGGAUGGCGUCCGCAAACGGACGCUAAUACCGCACACUAUCCGAUGAGCCUUGGUCGGAGUAGCUAUUGGGUGGGGUUAAGGCCUACCAGGGCCACGAUCCGUAACUGGUCUGAGAGGAUGAUCAGUCACACUGGAACUGAGACACGGUCCAGACUCCUACGGGAGGCAGCAGUGGGGAAUAUUGGACAAUGGGCGAAAGCCUGAUCCAGCCAUGCCGCGUGUGUGAAGAAGGUCUUCGGGUUGUAAAGCACUUUAAGUUGGGAGGCGUUACCAGCAGAAUAAGCACCGGCUAACUUCGUGCCAGCAGCCGCGGUAAUAC
rnacentral:rRNA from 1 species